GCCUGGGUGGCUCAGUCGGUUAAGCAUCCGACUUCAGCUCAGGUCACGAUCUCGCGGCUCGUGAGUUCAAGCCCCGCCUUGGGCU
rnacentral:tRNA from 1 species